rnacentral:rRNA from 1 species
AGAGUUUGAUCAUGGCUCAGAACGAACGUUAGCGGCGCGCCUAACACAUGCAAGUCGAACGAGAAGGGGCUUCGGCCCUGGUAAAGUGGCGCACGGGUGAGUAACACGUGGGUAAUGUUCCCUUGGGCGGGGGAUAACCUUCCGAAAGGAGGGCUAAUACCGCAUAAGACCACGACCUCGAAAGGGGACGCGGUCAAAGC